ensembl:lncRNA
AUGACACAAUAUAGCAUGCCUUUUGUUGUCAUAAUAUAUUUUUGUGCCAAUGGCGAGUGGGUUGCAGGCAGGAGUAGGAGCUCUGCUUUUCCUGAUUUCAGCAGUACUGUUGUUUGUCACUCCCCACAUACGAAGGAUCCUUCUGACCAUAUUGUAUACUUGAAAAUAUCUUCAAAUGAAACUCAACACAAGGUUGACUCUUCCUGGCAUCAUUGUGCAGGACUGAAAUGCAAAUCUUCAUAUGGACAAGGGAGUCAACAGCUUAAUAAAGUAGGCUGGGUGGAAGUGCAGCUUCUGACUCCAUGCCGCAGCACUCCAGGGCCAGAGAAAAGGAAAAGAAGCCAAUUUGCAAAACCUUGAGUGUAGCAUUUAAGGGAGCAGGUCUCCCCCUGCUGGCAGUGGUGGUGGCAAAACGAGUCUUGAACCACAAGGGGUACGGAGAACUCCCAACUGGAAAGGACUCUUCAGCAAGGAGACACUGUGCUCUGAUACCCACUCUCCUCAUAGGAACCUUAGCCUAAAUGUAAGCAUGACAGUAAAGAUGAAAGAAGUCAUGGCACCAAGGAAACCAUCAACAAAGAUGCUGAUUUACAAACCCUGGCAAAUGAACAAAGCCAGGAAGAAAAUUUUUUACAUUGGUUUAGCUAUAUAAAAAUAUUAUUCAUUUAAAAAAAUUACCUGUUUUUAUGAAUUGCUUAUUUUUUAAAAAGAUUUUAUUUAUUUAUUUAUAGAGACACAGAGAAAGAGAGAGCGGCAGAAACACAGGCAGAGGGAGAAGCAGGCUCCAUGCAGGGAGCCCAAUGCAGGACUCCAUCUGGGUCUCCAGGAUCACAUCCCGGGCUGCAGGCGGUGCUAAACCGCUGCACCACCAGGGCUGCCCCGGAAUGCUUAUUUUAUAUCAUUAGUUAUAUAAAUCCAUACUCAACAAAAAUCACACCUGUCAAAUUAAAUUGGUCUGAUUUUGGUUCCAUUAGCAAACUUGUCCUUAAAGUUCAAGUUAUUACUGCAGCAUGAAUGUCUGCUCAUAAAACAGGUAAAAUAAGGUAAGUCUGGUUUACUUGCACCUUUGGGGGACUAAAAUAAUCCUCACGCUUUGCCUUAUUUCAUUGAUUCCCUGUUGCCUGAUAUGCAUUAUGCCCUCAUCUACUUUCAUUAUCGUAAAUCCAACUUUUAUCUGUCCUUAAAGCUUUACCUUCUGCUCUCUUCCUUCUCCGAUAACAAAAAAACAAACUGAAGGCUCUUUUUUUCUUCCUUGAUUUUAUUAAUUAGCUUAUGGUCAGAAUCCUCUGACACUUAACAACAUUCUCACAUAGUUUAUUAGAGCAUGUCUUUCCCAUAUCAGAUUCUAAGGUGUCUGAAGACAAAGAAUGUUUUAUUCCAUCCCCCCACCCCCAUAAAAAGAAGCAAUAUGGUUAAUGGUUCAGAUCUCCGACUUAGUAGUUUGUGUCAUCAGUAGCAUAAACCUCACUGCUCUCAUAUCUGUCAACUACAAAUGAUAGGAGCACCAACCUCAUAAAUUUGCAGAAGCAUCGUGAGAGAAUGCAUGUUAAAGCUGCCUGGAUCUUAAUUGCUUGAUAAUUGUUAACUAUUGUUUUCACUCCCUCCAUCCCCUCAACAAAAGCCUUACAUGCUGUAGGCAUUCAAUUAUUAUUUGUUGGUGGGGCUUAGGCUAAUAAAAACAUUGAUGUGGAGUAAUGCA